GGUAGGGGGAGCCAGCCAGACAAGUGACAGUGCAAGAGGGGCUUCCCAUGCGCCGUUUUAGUGGGCAAUGCUUGCUGCAGAUGAGGAAGUCAUGGAGUCGACAUCAUGAACCCAGGAAGUGGAGAACUGAUGGAGGAAUACAGCAGGUCAUGCCUGAACUUCUAUGUCUCUCCAGUGCUCCAGAGAGUUUUACCGCUAUUUGUAAAGCCUGAAGAAAGUAAACUGAACUUUACUGGCCUGUUUAACCUGCUCAAGAGUCAUCCUGUUCUCCUCCUCCAGAAUGCUGAGAAUUUUCUGGUUUUAUUUAGAUACGAGGGAAUAAAAACUGAAAGUAAAAUCCCAUGGGAGGAGGAGAACUCAUCUCUCUGUCAAAGUGAUUCUGCUUCAGGUUGGUGAGAACCUUGAGGUAUUCCAGACUGGGAAAACUUAUACAGGAUCAUGUCUUCGAGUGAGCUGCAGUCAUGCUUGAAUCGGAGAUAAUUGCCUGUCAUCUCAGCCAGCUUCUCUUCAGUACAAAUCAG
ensembl:lncRNA